GGGUCCAGGUGGUGGUAGACCUUGGCCAAACCCAACAAAUGCCAAUUCAAUACCAUACUCCUCAGCAUCUCCUGGGAAUUAUGUAAUUCAACCAACUCUGGCGAUAACAUGUAUACUUUAAUGAAUGCAGUACCUCCUGGACCUAACAGACCUAAUUUUCCAAUGGGCCCUGGGUCAGAUGGUCCCAUGGGUGGAUUAGGAGGAAUGGAGUCACAUCACAUGAAUGGCUCUUUAGGCUCAGGAGAUAUGGACAGUAUUUCCAAGAAUUCUCCCAAUAAUAUGAGCCUGAGUAAUCAACCGGGCACUCCAAGGGAUGAUGGCGAAAUGGGGGGAAAUUUCUUAAAUCCUUUUCAGAGUGAGAGUUACUCCCCUAGCAUGACAAUGAGCGUGUGAUCCAUUACCAAGUCUCCUCAUGAAAACCACAGUGAGUCAGCCCUUCACAGAACUACUACGGAAGAAAAUUAUUCAUCACAGUGUACAGUUAAACAAAGGAAUCUCAGUCACACCAAACCAACCUUUUUAUUUCCUGCUCUCUCCCCUCUUUUGUGAAGAAAGCGGGUCCAAACGUGAUUCAAACAACUGUACGGAGUGGCAUAUUAGAAUUGCCCUAAACUGAACUGCAAAUAAUUAUGUGUGUAUGUAUAUGUGUGGGAAAGAGAAUGUACUGUAUAUGUGUAUGUUAUACAGACAUAUGCACAUACAUACAUUGACCCACAGGACAUUGUAAAAUAUUAUCACAUGACAUCUUAAGUAGAAAUAAGUAGGGACUUUUAUUCCAUCCUUUUUUUCACGUUUACAUUUUAAUUAUUACAAGUUGCUCCUGCCCCCUCCCUGAACUAUUUUGUGCUGUGUAUAUCACUGCUUUAUAUAAGUUAUUUUUUAAGGUGAACUCAGAUGUUAUGGUUUUGUAAAUGUCUGCAAUCAUGGAUAGGAAUAAAAUCGCUUAUUUG
rnacentral:lncRNA from 1 species